AUUGAACGCUGGCGGCAUGCCUUACACAUGCAAGUCGAACGGCAGCACGGGUGCUUGCCCCUGGUGGCGAGUGGCGAACGGGUGAGUAAUACAUCGGAACAUGUCCUGUAGUGGGGGAUAGCCCGGCGAAAGCCGGAUUAAUACCGCAUACGAUCUACGGAUGAAAGCGGGGGACCUUCGGGUCUCGCGCUAUAGGGUUGGCCGAUGGCUGAUUAGCUAGUUGGUGGGGUAAAGGCCUACCAAGGCGACGAUCAGUAGCUGGUCUGAGAGGACGACCAGCCACACUGGGACUGAGACACGGCCCAGACUCCUACGGGAGGCAGCAGUGGGGAAUUUUGGACAAUGGGCGAAAGCCUGAUCCAGCAAUGCCGCGUGUGUGAAGAAGGCCUUCGGGUUGUAAAGCACUUUUGUCCGGAAAGAAAUCCUUGGCCCUAAUACGGUCGGGGGAUGACGGUACCGGAAGAAUAAGCACCGGCUAACUACGUG
rnacentral:rRNA from 1 species